GACGAACGCUGGCGGCGUGCUUAACACAUGCAAGUCGAACGGAAAGGCCCUGCUUUUGUGGGGUGCUCGAGUGGCGAACGGGUGAGUAACACGUGAGUAACCUGCCCUUGACUUUGGGAUAACUUCAGGAAACUGGGGCUAAUACCGGAUAGGAGCUCCUGCUGCAUGGUGGGGGUUGGAAAGUUUCGGCGGUUGGGGAUGGACUCGCGGCUUAUCAGCUUGUUGGUGGGGUAGUGGCUUACCAAGGCUUUGACGGGUAGCCGGCCUGAGAGGGUGAACGGCCACAUGAGGACUGAGAGACGGCGCAGACUGCAACGGGAGGCAGCAGGGGGGAAUAUUGCACAAUGGGCCGAAGCGUGAUGCAGCAACGCCGCGUGCGGGAUGACGGCCUUCGGGUUGUAAACAGCUUUGGCCUGUGACAAAGCGUGAGUGACGGUAAUGGGUAAAGAAGCACCGGCUAACUACGUG
rnacentral:rRNA from 1 species